rnacentral:rRNA from 1 species
AAUCAACGCUGGCGGCGUGCCUCAGACAUGCAAGUCGAACGCGAAAGUUUCCUUCGGGGAACAAGUAGAGUGGCGCACGGGUGAGUAACACGUAGGUAAUCUACCUUUGGAUGGGGAAUAACAACCGGAAACGGUUGCUAAUACCGCAUAAUGCAGCGGCACCUAAUGGUGACAGUUGUUAAAGCGGGGGAUCGAAAGACCUCGCGUCUGAAGAGGAGCCUGCGGCGGAUUAGCUAGUUGGUAAGGUAAUGGCUUACCAAGGCGACGAUCCGUAACCGGCCUGAGAGGGCGGUCGGUCACACUGACACUGACAUACGGGUCAGACUCCUACGGGAGGCAGCAGUCGGGAAUUUUGGGCAAUGGGCGAAAGCCUGACCCAGCAACGCCGCGUGAAGGAUGAAAUCCCUCGGGAUGUAAACUUCGCAAGAACGGGAAGAAUAAGCGAGAGUUAAUAUCUUUCGUGAUGA